rnacentral:rRNA from 1 species
AAUCAACGCUGGCGGCGUGCCUCAGACAUGCAAGUCGAACGAUUAAAGCUCUCUUCGGAGAGUGCAUAAAGUGGCGCACGGGUGAGUAACACGUAAGUAAUCUACCUUCGAGUGGGGAAUAACGUCCGGAAACGGACGCUAAUACCGCAUAACGCAGCGGCAUCGCAAGAUGACAGUUGUUAAAGAUUUAUCGCUUGAAGAGGAGCUUGCGGCAGAUUAGCUUGUUGGUAAGGUAACGGCUUACCAAGGCUACGAUCUGUAUCCGGUCUAAGAGGACGGUCGGACACACUGACACUGAAUAACGGGUCAGACUCCUACGGGAGGCAGCAGUCGGGAAUUUUGGGCAAUGGGGGAAACCCCGACCCAGCAACGCCGCGUGAAGGAUGAAGUAUUUCGGUAU